AAGCUGAUGCUCAAAUAAAUUGGUUAGUCUCUAAGGUGCCACAAGUACUCCGGUUCCCAUUAUCCUGAGAAUUACUCGCUUCUCUUUCACAGCUUGCUUUGUAAAUAAGCAUAGUACAAAAUAUUCUGAUCAUGAGACUGGGAACUGUAAACUCUUGAUCUCUAAUAUGUAACUUUCAGCAAGUAACACAGGCCAAAAUUUUCAAAUACAGUGCCGACAAUUAGGCACUUUCAUCCUCAUUGAAGUGCCUAAAUAUAAGUGAUCUGAUUCUGCAUGAUGCUCAGCACCCAAAACUCCCACCAAGAUUGAUGGGAGUUUUAGCUGCUCAACACCUCUGACAAUCAGGCCACAUUCAUUUGGUUGCCUAAAUGUAGGCAUGCACCCAAAUUUGACUCAGAGUUAAAAAGACUUCAGCUCAGCCUCUGAUUUUGCUAGCAUGUUUUGGCACCCACAUUUAAUAGUUGGGGAAAGCGCUAACAUUUAAAUAUUAAAUGUUGUUUUGAGGCACAAUCAGGCUGAUAUCUAAAUGAUAGCAUAUGCUCUUACAAUUAACUGCAGGACCAAAACUGCCCCAACAAAUGGCAGGUCUGCCAGAGAAAGCCCUUGAGACUGACAAUCUGAAUCUGAGAAUAAGUCUGAAGGAAGCCUGUUAAGAAGCGCUGUGGCAGGCGAAGGGUUUCUAGCACUGAGGGAGAGCGACAAGGACAUUCCUGCCAAGGGCAAGCUAUAAUUAGACUUUUUUUUCAGCCCACUAAUGGCCACUUUCCCAGCUGGAACCACCGGGGAGCUGGUGGUGAGCAUGGGAAGAACUGGCUGGAAGUGGCUAUUCUGGCUCUGACAGAGCUGACACAUGGGGGAGCAGAAGGCAGGCUCCCUGAGAGGGGGGAUUCCACGUAGCAUGACAGAAGCCUAAUCAAAACCACUCCAGCCUGCCUCUGGUAUCCGGCUGGAGCGCUCCCUAGCCCCCGCCAGAAGCAGCAGCUCUUUCCACUAAACACUCCGCUACCAGUUAAUCCCCCCGCCGCUGAAGUGCUACGGACAGAGGAGUGGCGGAGCCGGCUUCCCCCUGCACCAGCCGCUCCCAUGGCGCUAUGGGCGCGCUAGUUUUCCGGCCGUUCCUCGGGCAGGCCCGCGGCCUCCUUGUUUCCGUCCUGCAUCUCUUGCCGUGCAGCCCUGCCAAGCCCAGGGGAGCGUGGCCCCAGCGCCCCCGGCUCGGCAGGGAACAGGGAGCGAGCGCCAUGGCUGCGCUAUCAACCCAACAGCCUCCCGGGGCCCCGUGCUCAGUGCGAGCAGCAGGCUGGGCGCAGGGGAGAGCCCGCUUCAUCCGUUCCCGGCCGUGCUCGGCCCGCUUUCGCAGCCGCGUCAGGUUCACGAGCCCCAUAUUUAACAGCCGCUGACCCGGCAGGGACCGG